GUGGGGAAUAUUGGACAAUGGGCGAAAGCCUGAUCCAGCCAUGCCGCGUGUGUGAAGAAGGUCUUCGGAUUGUAAAGCACUUUAAGUUGGGAGGAAGGGCAGUAAGUUAAUACCUUGCUGUUUUGACGUUACCGACAGAAUAAGCACCGGCUAACUUCGUGCCAGCAGCCGCGGUAAUACGAAGGGUGCAAGCGUUAAUCGGAAUUACUGGGCGUAAAGCGCGCGUAGGUGGUUUUGUAAGUUGGAGGUGAAAUCCCCGGGCUCAACCUGGGAACUGCCUCCAAAACUGCAUGACUAGAGUACGGUAGAGGGUAGUGGAAUUUCUUGUGUAGCGGUGAAAUGCGUAGAUAUAGGAAGGAACACCAGUGGCGAAGGCGACUACCUGGACUGAUACUGACACUGAGGUGCGAAAGCGUGGGGAGCAAACAGGAUUAGAUACCCCGGUAGUCC
rnacentral:rRNA from 1 species